CUGAGGACGCACUGACGUGUUCCGCCUCUUCAGAUGACAUUUCUGCGCUCUCUCUUUUACUUUUGCGCUUCGAGACUCUGACACACACGCCACCUAUCUUUACACUGCGGGAUAGAUGGAGAAACACUGGCUAUGGGACUGUGGGAUCGCUUGAUGAACCAGAUCAAGAUGGUCCCGUCAAAUGACUCAUCAAAACUUCUGCAGUACAGGUGGGACAUUGGAAAAGUGAGGCGGUAGAAAAAGCCUAUCAUGUGCUAAGCGGAAUUCCAGAGAGAGAAUUGCAACAGCUCGACGUGGGAAUGAUCGUGAGGAACGAUCUUCAUGUGCAUGAAGAGAUACAUGUGAGGCUGCCGAUGCUGCGCUGCUUCAGUGAUCCGACAGUAUCUGGGCUGCUGUACGUCGCCUAAUGUCAGUUAGCAUGAGGAGGCUCUAGGUGCUGGUCAAACAAGACGAGGGCCCUUGAUGUACACACACAAACAUUCCUCCCCUGCAUCCCACAAGCAUGACCUAAUCCAGCUACAACGGCUGUCAACAUAAACACAUCACUAAUCUGAGUGCAUCUAUGGCAAUAUUACCAGUCUAAGUGCCAAAGAGAAGAGUGGGGGAGUGCCAUGGCUUAAUCCUAGAGGGAAAAGUACAGAUUAAUAAUAGACCUUGGAAAUAUAACACUAUUUUAGGGAGGGGAGGUCGGGGCUUGGUUUCACCCAAAAUUGAAUGAGUGACAUGCAGGGGCAUAUGGUUGCUCUAUCAGCUUACAAAAUAAAGGAGGAUUAGUGCAUUUGGAUGGGGAUCUAUGACAUGAUUACACUUGUGUCUUGGAAAAGAUGUCUGAUAAGGAGCUACCCAUUGUGUAACAAUCUUCAGAAUGUUUUUUUUAGGGGCUUAUGAUACAUUCAAGUGCAGUUAUUGUGCUAAAACAGCAAGUUCUAUCAUUCUAAAUGCUUAGAGGUAGAGACACUCUGUAUUACAAUAGAGUUCUAAAUGACAUACUGUAUAUAUAUAUAUAUAUAUAUGAAUGCAGUUUAAACCAUGAUACAUUUUUGUAUUUCUUGAUCAUUUAACCUGAACAUAACACCAACUCUUCAUUCUGAAUCCUAUAGUGUGUGCAGCAGGAAAGUGACCUACUGACCCUUGAAAAGACAUCCCUUAGGACCGCACCAAAUGGCAGGCACACCUUAGCCCCUGUAUGAUUCAGUUUUGUUUUGAUCACUGGUUUAAUAUGGUGUAAUAGACCUUUUCCUGUGCAGGUUCCUGUUUAGAGGCUUUCCUGUAAAUGUCAUGUGUCUUUCCAUUAAUAAAUUACACUUUAUGACUACACAA